rnacentral:rRNA from 1 species
GAUGAACGCUAGCGGCAGGCCUAACACAUGCAAGUCGAGGGGUAGAGUUCUUCGGAACUUGAGACCGGCGCACGGGUGCGUAACGCGUAUGCAAUCUACCUUAUACAGGGGAAUAGCCCAGAGAAAUUUGGAUUAAUGCCCCAUAGUAUUAUUGAAUGGCAUCAUUUAAUAAUUAAAGUUCCAACGGUAUAAGAUGAGCAUGCGUCCCAUUAGUUAGUUGGUAAGGUAACGGCUUACCAAGACGAUGAUGGGUAGGGGUCCUGAGAGGGAGAUCCCCCACACUGGUACUGAGACACGGACCAGACUCCUACGGGAGGCAGCAGUGAGGAAUAUUGGUCAAUGGUCGCAAGACUGAACCAGCCAUGCCGCGUGCAGGAAGACGGUCCUAUGGAUUGUAAACUGCUUUUAUACAGGAAGAAACCCUCCCACGUGUGGGAGCUUGACGGUACUGUAGGAAUAAGGAUCGGCUAACUCCGUGCCAGCCGCCGCCGUAAUAC